rnacentral:snRNA from 1 species
AUCGCUUCUCGGCCUUUUGGCUAAGAUCAAGUGUAAUAUCUGUUCUUAUCAGUUUAAUAUCUGAUACGUACCACAUUGUGGUACCUUAUAUUAAAUUGAUUUUUGGGACAGGGAGAUGGAAUAGGGGCUUGCUCCGUCCACUCCGCGCAUCAAUCCGGUAUUGCAGGGACAUCAUCAAACAAAAGUAGAGUGUGUUGGGUUUUGGUAGCUCUG